CAGCUCCUGCCCCGCCUCUCAUAGCUGGGUGCGGACUGAUGACGUCGGCCUGGCUCCCGGAAGUCAUCCUCCGUGAUGCAGCAUUAGCUUGUUUAAGGUGCAGAAGGCAUGGUGAAAUAAGACUUCAGUGGGGAUAGAAACAAUGAAAGAGGUAUAUGUAGCCAUGGAAUAAAGCAGCUUCAAGAGAGGAUACAGGAGUGCUGGUGUAUGCUCUCAAGGAGGUCGAUACAGGGAUAGCAGGAGUCAGAUGAUAUGGAGAUCCACUGUAGAGUCAGCGAGCUACUGUAUAACAGCUAUGCAGGGCCCUCUUCGGCAGGAGUGGGGCUCCUGCUGCUUCCCCCUGCCGGCUCUCUCACAAUGUGGGUCUGGCCUCAGGACCGGCCUCGGGUUCACGGGGCUCAGGGGCUCGCCGGCUCUGCCUGCACUUGGGGGGGUGUGGCCUCAGGCUAGGCCCCCCAUCCCCAUUUCUGCCCCCCUGUCCGGCCUGGUGACAAAUCAAUACAUAUUUAAAUGAUUAAUAAAACAGACAAAGGAGUAUAUUAAUACUCUAAGUAAAACCUGUCUGGCACAACAUGGUAUCCAGUUCCUCAUACUCUAUAACAGGCUGCUGGGCAGGACAGGUUACAUAAAAUAAAUAAAUAAAUAAAAAUGGUGGAAUCUCAAAAAUGGAAAUAAAAGGCUAUGUCUACUUACAAAGUAAUGACAGAUGCUGUCAGAAAUUGCUAAAAAUGUAGUAACAGUCUCUGUUAAACAACAGGCAGAGAUUUUAUAUGGUUUUGCACUUCUAAAUAAGAGGAAAGGUUCAGCUCUCACUUGAAAAAGUGUAUAGUAACCCUGUUCUAGCUGCAUCACUACACUUUUUUCACAAGGAGGCAGUGUUGUCUUUUUGUUCACUCUCAAACAUUAGUGAACAGAGGGACUCAGAACAUGGUGAGAGAGCAACAGUUUAUUUUUUCAAAGAUGAUACAAAACAAACUUAGAGAAUCCUCUGUGCUCAUUUGAUGUAGUCAAAAAAGAAGAUGCACAAAGCGAUAAUGUAUAUAUUUAAGAGCAGGAUGAGAUACUGUAUUUAACAUCAAUAGAUAUCACAUCUAUUAAAUAGUCCCCACAGAACUGA